rnacentral:rRNA from 1 species
CGUUCCCGGGUCUUGUACACACCGCCCGUCACACCAUGGGAAGCGGGUUCUACCAGAAGUAGCUAGCCUAAACCGCGAACGGGGGGACGGGUUACCACGGUAGGUAUUCGUGACUGGGGUG